GGGAAAAGGGAAAGAGAAGAAUCUAGAGAGGGAGAAACAAAGGGCGGGGGAGAGAAGGCAACGCGGCAGUUCCAUUGAUUGAUCAUCCUUACGGAGUAGAGAAUUAUGGAAACACCUAAAAAUGCUUGAAGAAAAAUUCAAGAGUUUGAGCGGGAAUGCCAAUGAAAUGUGACAGCAAUUGCGUCGCAUUUGUGGUGGAAUUGAAAUUCUAACCCCAAAUCCCAACUGCAACAGCUAGACCAAGGAUGAUUGAAGCGCGCAACCAGAGAUCGAGAUAGCCAGAGAGAGAAAGAGAUUGAGAGAUUCCUGUCGAUGACAAUGAAGAUUGCAACUCUUGUGAAAAUUGUUCGUUUUUCUUUUGGCUUUUUGCAAAUAAUGAUUACUGCCCUUUGCAAAUUGCGGAGGUAGGGAAUCACUGCUUUUU
rnacentral:misc_RNA from 1 species